GGAAAAACUUAACAGAAAUCAAAUACGUUUGACAGAAGCUCGAGCCACUGAGGAUCGAAGAGAUUGUGAAAGAAAACAAGGACGGAUGAGAUGGAAAAACACAUUACGUGAUGAAAUCUCAUUGUGAAAGAAGUUCAGCUUACAUGGCGAGUGGUCACAGUACAAGAAGCGUUAAAGAAAAUGGUGACCAAAGAGUUCGGUCUCCCAGAAGAGCAAAUAUUUCUUCAUCCAGAACCAAUAGGUAUCUUUCACAGAGAGAACAACUCUUUGCCGAGAACAAUUUUGGUGUCAGAUCACCAACACCUCUUCAUGUAGUUCUAUCAGAAGACAGCACAAACCAAUAUUUGAACCAUUCCAAAGAAACUUCAGUGGAUAAAUUUCACAGCCCCAAAAAAGACCAUUCAAAAUUGAAUGAAAUGGCUGAUUUUAGAUAUACGAUGAAUGGACCACCAUCAUAUAUUGGAGACAGAAGAAGACAUUUGUCAAGGAUGAGUGAAAAGUGUCCACCACCAUCAGCUCUGGAAGGUUCAACAAUACCACAAUCUCAAUCACCUCCUGGAUUACGUACCACACAAAGUGGUGUAUGUUGUGAACAUUGCAAUAAUUGUUUAAUAGAUUUAAAACG